rnacentral:rRNA from 1 species
GUCCUGGCAGUAAACGGUGCACGUUUGGUGUAAGCGGAUUCGACCCCGCUUGUGCCGGAGCUAACGCGUUAAACGUGCCGCCUGGGAAGUACGGUCGCAAGAUUAAAACUCAAAGAAAUUGACGGGGGCCCGCACAAGCGGUGGAGUAUGUGGCUUAAUUCGAUGCAACGCGAAGAACCUUACCAGGGUUUGACAUGCACUGUGUCGCAGGUGAAAGCCUGCUAGCCGGGUUAAACCGGCGCUUUGCACAGGUGCUGCAUGGCUGUCGU